rnacentral:rRNA from 1 species
UGAGGAAUAUUGGUCAAUGGGCGGGAGCCUGAACCAGCCAAGCCGCGUGAGGGAGGAAGGCCCUAUGGGUCGUAAACCUCUUUUGUCAGGGAACAAAAGCGAGUAUGUAUACUAGUCUGAGUGUACCUGAAGAAAAAGCAUCGGCUAACUCCGUGCCAGCAGCCGCGGUAAUACGGAGGAUGCGAGCGUUAUCCGGAUUUAUUGGGUUUAAAGGGUGCGUAGGCGGCGGUGCAAGUCAGCGGUAAAAGCCCGGGGCUCAACCCCGGCGAGCCGUUGAAACUGCAGUGCUAGAGAAGGCGAGAGGUACGCGGAAUGCGCAGUGUAGCGGUGAAAUGCUUAGAUAUUGCGCAGAACUCCGAUUGCGAAGGCAGCGUACUGGCGCCUGACUGACGCUGAGGCACGAAAGCGCGGGGAUCGAACAGGAUUAGAUACCC